UGCAGCUUCGGUGAAAGCAAAACACGACUUAUUCAGAAGCGCUUCUUCGGAGAAGCACUUUUCUCACGCGCAUUGGCUCAAGCUUUCUCGGUUUCUCUUGUGCGACACUCUCUCAAACUCAUGCUCUCUCCCUCUCAAUUCUUACACAACAACAACAAUUACGAUGCAGAUUCUCUUGGUCUCGAAUUGGUUGGAUUUGGAUUUCGGAACUGAUUCGAAUUGUUAUCGACUUAGGAUUCGAUUCGUGUUGGGGUUCAGAAUCUGUUUGCGCUCGAAAAUUCAACUCAGAGCAGUUUGAGUUAAAGUUACAACAAGCAUAUGAUAUCAUAAAGCUGAGAAUGGAGGAAUGUUUACCGGUUGAAGCGAUGAGGAGAAGAAAAUGCAGCUUUCAAUCUUGCUCACAAGGAUGAGUUCAUCUGAGGAUAAGCCAAUAAACACAAGAGACUUCUGUCAUGUGUACAUUAGAAGAAGAAGAAGAAAUAUAACUGGUGCUUCUGGAAAAGUAGUACGAGAUUUGGAUCUAAACGCUCCCCCACCUGCAGAACCAGCUUCUAUGCCUAAAACUGAUGGGACAUUUGAAAUCGGAGAU